GUACGGGAGGCAGCAGUAAGGAAUCUUCCACAAUGGGCGAAAGCCUGAUGGAGCAACGCCGCGUGCAGGAUGAAGGCCUUCGGGUCGUAAACUGCUUUUAUGAGUGAAGAAUAUGACGGUAACUCAUGAAUAAGCACCGGCUAACUACGUGCCAGCAGCCGCGGUCAUACGUAGGGUGCAAGCAUUAUCCGGAGUGACUGGGCGUAAAGAGUUGCGUAGGUGGCGUAUUAAGCGAAUGGUGAAAUCUGGUGGCUCAACCACACAGACUAUUAUUCGAACUGGUACGCUCGAGAGUAGCAGAGGUAACUGGAAUUUCUAGUGUAGGAGUGAAAUCCGUAGAUAUUAGAAGGAACACCAAUGGCGUAGGCAGGUUACUGGGCUAUUUCUGACACUAAGGCACGAAAGCGUGGGGAGCGAACCGGAUUAGAUACCCUGGUAGC
rnacentral:rRNA from 1 species